CCGGCACGGGUGAGUAACACGUAUCCAACCUGCCGUCUACUCUUGGACAGCCUUCCGAAAGGAAGAUUAAUACAAGAUGGCAUCAUGAGUCCACAUGUUCACAUGAUUAAAGGUAUUCCGGUAGACGAUGGGGAUGCGUUCCAUUAGAUAGUAGGCGGGGUAACGGCCCACCUAGUCUUCGAUGGAUAGGGGUUCUGAGAGGAAGGUCCCCCACAUUGGAACUGAGACACGGUCCAA
rnacentral:rRNA from 1 species